UACGGAGGGGGCUAGCGUUAUUCGGAAUUACUGGGCGUAAAGCGCACGUAGGCGGAUCAGAAAGUCAGAGGUGAAAUCCCAGGGCUCAACCUUGGAACUGCCUUUGAAACUUCUGGUCUUGAGGUCGAGAGAGGUGAGUGGAAUUCCGAGUGUAGAGGUGAAAUUCGUAGAUAUUCGGAGGAACACCAGUGGCGAAGGCGGCUCACUGGCUCGAUACUGACGCUGAGGUGCGAAAGCGUGGGGAGCAAACAGG
rnacentral:rRNA from 2 species